rnacentral:rRNA from 1 species
UACAGAGGUGGCAAGCGUUGUUCGGAUUUACUGGGCGUAAAGGGCGCGUAGGCGGUUCUGUGUGUCGGAUGUGAAAGCCCACUGCUUAACGGUGGAAGUGCAUUCGAAACUACAGAACUUGAGUGCAGGAGGGGAGAGUGGAAUUCUUGGUGUAGCGGUGAAAUGCGUUGAUAUCAAGAGGAACACCGGUGGCGAAGGCGACUCUCUGGAAUGCAACUGACGCUGAGGCGCGAAAGUUAGGGGAG